UCAUUGAGUCCACACGUUGUAAGGUGGGCAAUAAAUUCGUUUCACUGUCUUGCUUAUAGUGGUUGGAAGAGGCUUGCUAUGCCGACCCAUAUAUAUCAAUCAAAUUUUAUAUACUUACCUUUGUUGAUAGUAAUCGAAAGCCUCAUUAAAAACUUCCAUGAUUAAAUGUCAGCAACGAAAUACCCCAAUGUCAGAAAAGUGCCACGAAACGUUGAGUAAAUGGUCGUGACGUUAUCAUGAACCUUGCUUGGCACUUCCAAAUGGUUCGAGUCAAGGGCUAUUGAAGACGCUAUAAGAACUACGCAAAGACGGAUCGAGACGAUGAUCCAGGGUUUGUUCGAAUCUAGAGAGCCAUGGAAGGCCUCUUCCUGCAGGACAAAGUUUGGCUAUUUAGCUGUCGAAGGCGAGCGUAAAAAAACGAAGAUAAAAAGCGAAAGCGAUCAGAAUUCAAGAUCACGAGAGCGAAAACACAUCUAUCAAUUCCUACAGUUUCGCCAAACCUCGUCCCCACGAGCAGCAAGCAGUGGCUCCCCCUGUCUUAGUCAUGAGCCCUAUGUAUCUGCAGCGUAAAACGCAAAAAAGAUUCGAGAGGCAUAGGCCGAUUUCGAACGCGAGCUCGUGAAGCGCAAUUCGCCUCAUCUUCGGACAGGAAGGUUUACUUGUAUCAGUGAAAUGCGUGAGUGCCUGUUUCCCGUAAUAGCGAGCAAAGACACGUUCGAAUUUACAGCUAGAUAAGCUCCCCUUCCGAAUUUGCCACACAUAUCGGUGACCGCGAACAUACAAAGAAACAAAACGUAUGCCUUCUGCGUCCCACGUCG